UUUGCUCUCUCAUUUGUCCUUACUGCCUGCGCAUAUCUCAUUCCUCCGUCUCUGGUCUUUUUUUUUUUUUUUUUUUUUUGGGUUUUGUUCUGCUUUUUAAGUACAUGUUGUCCACACGUGUUGAUCAUCAGCAAUGUUUCUGUUCAGAGGAUUUUUACUCUUUUUGUUUCAUUUUCACUCCUCUCCUUGUUUACUUUUUCCUUUCGUUUUUCUGCUUCUCUGUUGCCUCUUUUUGUUUCGUUUUCAGUUUUCAGUCUUCAUCUUCUCAUCCUUGCUCCAGCGCUGCACACAUCGCCUUCUUGGCGUUUCAAGUCUUGCUGUUUUUUGGAAACGGUGUUGUUCGUUUUCCCAGCUGUUGUGUUGGCAUUUUCAUGCUGGUUGUGCUUCAGGAUAAAUGGAAAACACACAGCCAACUCCUAUUCAUCAGUUAAAACCAUACACGAAAGCAAAAAAAAAUCAAAAUCCGGAUAUGCAGGAUAUGGAAAUCGACAAUCCCAGGCACCGUUCAAAAAUAUACAGCUUUGAACUGUAUAUUAGUUGAUGAAAUGCAAGAUGCCGUUGAGGCGACCACAUCAAAUGUUGAGUAUGAUGUUAUGGUUGCGAAGAUUGAAGCUGGUGGAUGCUAUGAAAUCAUUGAUUUCCGUACCAUUAAAAUUAGGGGACAAUACAAAGUAGUCCCGCAUGAAACUCAAGUUUUGUUUAAUGCGAUAACAAAAUUUAAAAAAUUGGCCAGUGUGUUUCCACCCAUCCCUCGCGAUCGGUUCUUUCUACAAGAUUACAACACACUUUACCCUCGCUUGGACAGGGUUGACAUCCUUACAGAUGUUAUCGGUUGUAUAAGAGCCGUACAGUCCUUGGAAGAAAAACAGAUUAAUCAGAGGGUUGCAUACAAAUGUGAUGUGCACAUUCAGAAUAUAAGAAAAGAAGAACUCAUGGUUACGUUAUGGGCAGACAUUGGUGAAGCUUUUCCUUCUUUGUCAACAGAGGCGUUUUCACUGCCAGUCGUGGUUGUUUUCACAAGUUUAAAAGUCAGACGCUACCUAAGUAUUUCAUUUAAUUUAAAAUUAAUCUGUUGCAUCCUUAUUUUGUUCUCUGUCCAUACUAAGUCAUUUCAAUUCUUUUGGUGUUUAACCAUUGUUGGAUUUUAUUAUAUUUAUUUGUUACAAUUAGUCA